rnacentral:rRNA from 1 species
UACGUAGGGGGCUAGCGUUGUCCGGAUUUAUUGGGCGUAAAGCGCGUGUAGGCGGUUGGACAGGUCCGACGUGAAAUCUCCAGGCUCAACCUGGAGCGGUCGUUGGAAACCGUCUGGCUAGAGUCCGGAAGAGGAGAGUGGAAUUCCUGGUGUAGCGGUGAAAUGCGCAGAUAUCAGGAAGAACACCGAUGGCGAAGGCAGCUCUCUGGGACGGUACUGACGCUGAGACGCGAAAGCGUGGGGAGCGAACAGG